CGUUCGUCGGAGCUCGACCGGUUUUCGAUCGAAAACCAAAACCUUUCGAUCGUGAUAUCUCGAGCUGUAGUGCAUCGUUUUGAUUGAUUUUUGAACCACUGAGUUCGCCUUGAUUUUCUUAACAACUCUCCAGAAGGAAUCGAGGCCUGAAGUUGCAGUUUUUACGUCGAACUAGGAGCUCGCCGGUUUCUGGGGUUUUUUCCGGCCAACCCGACUGGUUUGAGGUGAUCGACAGUUUGAUUUGGCGGACGAUUCGUGAAAUUGUAUUUUGAGCUGUUAAGAAGACGCAGCGGGAAUUUAGAGCGGGAAAUCCUACAGGUCAGGAGAACCAGGACGGUGAUCGGGCUGCUUAGAGUAGUGUUAUGUGAAUUACAGCAUUAUAUUGUGAGGUUUGUUAUGCUCAUUUAGAGCUUUGCAAUUUUACUUUGUAAGAGUGAAUUGUAAUAAUUAACUCGAGGUUUUCGAGUUUUUGUGUUGAGUGGCGAGUGGUGUGUUUGUUUGUGAGAAAAAAAUUCAGAACGUUAUUUGUAUUAAUUGUUUAUUCAUGUUUCGGAUUUGAAUUGGUUAUUCAAAAUUCGGGGCGUGACAGUUUGG